UACGGGGGGAGCAAGCGUUGUUCGGAUUUACUGGGCGUAAAGGGCGCGUAGGCGGCCACCGCAAGUCGACUGUGAAAUCUCCGGGCUUAACCCGGAACGGUCAGCCGAUACUGCGGGGCUAGAGUGCAGAAGGGGCAACUGGAAUUCUCGGUGUAGCGGUGAAAUGCGUAGAUAUCGAGAGGAACACCUGCGGCGAAGGCGGGUUGCUGGGCUGACACUGACGCUGAGGCGCGAAAGCGUGGGGAGCGAACAGG
rnacentral:rRNA from 1 species